rfam:Homo sapiens chromosome 15, GRCh38 reference primary assembly.
GCCAGGCGUGGUGGUGUGUGCCUGUAAUCCCAGCUACUCAGGAGGCUGAGGCAGGAGAAUCGCUUGAACCCGGGAGGCGGAGGUUGCAGUGAGCCAAGAUUGCGCCAUUGCACUCCAGCCUCCAGCCUGGGUGACAGAGGGAGACUCUGUCUCAA